rnacentral:sRNA from 1 species
UGUUUAGAUUACUUUAAACAGAUCCGAACCAACAGAAGGUUCGAGCCGAGCGCAGCGAGACAAUGUUGCUUUAGCAACAACCCGUAAGGUGAUCCUCGCCAAUACUCCGCUAUUUCACACAA